rnacentral:rRNA from 1 species
GAUGAACGCUGGCGGCGUGCCUAAUACAUGCAAGUCGAGCGAACGGACGAGAAGCUUGCUUCUCUGAUGUUAGCGGCGGACGGGUGAGUAACACGUGGAUAACCUACCUAUAAGACUGGGAUAACUUCGGGAAACCGUAGCUAAUACCGGAUAAUAUUUUGAACCGCAUGGUUCAAAAGUGAAAGACGGUCUUGCUGUCACUUAUAGAUGGAUCCGCGCUGCAUUAGCUAGUUGGUAAGGUAACGGCUUACCAAGGCAACGAUGCAUAGCCGACCUGAGAGGGUGAUCGGCCACACUGGAACUGAGACACGGUCCAGACUCCUACGGGAGGCAGCAGUAGGGAAUCUUCCGCAAUGGGCGAAAGCCUGACGGAGCAACGCCGCGUGAGUGAUGAAGGUCUUCGGAUCGUAAAACUCUGUUAUUAGGGAAGAACAUAUGUGUAAGUAACUGUGCACAUCUUGACGGUACCUAAGCAGAAAACCACGGCUAACUACGU